rnacentral:rRNA from 1 species
CUGGCGGCAGGCCUAACACAUGCAAGUCGAGCGGAUGAAGGGAGCUUGCUCCCUGAUUCAGCGGCGGACGGGUGAGUAAUGCCUAGGAAUCUGCCUGGUAGUGGGGGACAACGUCUCGAAAGGGACGCUAAUACCGCAUACGUCCUACGGGAGAAAGCAGGGGACCUUCGGGCCUUGCGCUAUCAGAUGAGCCUAGGUCGGAUUAGCUAGUUGGUGAGGUAAUGGCUCACCAAGGCGACGAUCCGUAACUGGUCUGAGAGGAUGAUCAGUCACACUGGAACUGAGACACGGUCCAGACUCCUACGGGAGGCAGCAGUGGGGAAUAUUGGACAAUGGGCGAAAGCCUGAUCCAGCCAUGCCGCGUGUGUGAAGAAGGUCUUCGGAUUGUAAAGCACUUUAAGUUGGGAGGAAGGGCAUUAACCUAAUACGUUGGUGUUUUGACGUUACCGACAGAAUAAGCACCGGCUAACUCUGUGCCAGCAGCCGCGGUAAUACAGAGGGUGCAAGCGUUAAUCGGAUUACUGGGCGUAAAGCGCGCGUAGGUGGUUUGUUAAGUUGGAUGUGAAUCCCGGCUCA